CCUACGGGGGGCAGCAGUGGGGAAUAUUGGACAAUGGGCGAAACCUUAUCCAGCCAUGCCGCGUGUGUGAAGAGGUCUUCGGAUUGUAAGCACUUUAAGUUGGGAGGCGUUACCGACAGAAUAAGCACCGGCUAACUCUGUGCCAGCAGCCGCGGUAAUACAGAGGGUGCAAGCGUUAAUCGGAAUUACUGGGCGUAAAGCGCGCGUAGGUGGUUUGUUAAGUUGAAUGUGAAAUCCCCGGGCUCAACCUGGGAACUGCAUCCAAAACUGGCAAGCUAGAGUAUGGUAGAGGGUGGUGGAAUUUCCUGUGUAGCGGUGAAAUGCGUAGAUAUAGGAAGGAACACCAGUGGCGAAGGCGACCACCUGGACUGAACUGACACUGAGGUGCGAAAGCGUGGGGAGCAAACAGGAUUAGAUACCCUUGUAGUC
rnacentral:rRNA from 1 species